CAUUCAGUUUCUUGCAUGCGGUAGAGAAGGGAAUCACCGUUGUUUUCUCGGCUGGCAAUGAUGGACCAAGGCCACAAAGUAUAUCAAUUGAAUCUCCAUAGGUCAUCACAGUGGCAGCGAGUACGAUAGACCGAUCCUUCCCUGCUUCAAUCACGCUGGGAAAUAAUGUCUCGAUUACGGGUCAACGAGUUAUCGGUUUGCCAAGGCGCCAAGAUGGAUUCAAACCACUAUUUCUCUCAUCCAAUGAUCAAAGCUGCAAUGGUCCUUUAGAUGCCACCUUAGUGGCAGGAAAAGUAGUACUCUGUUUCACAGCACUCCAAUGGUAAAGAUGGGCCUUGCAACUACUGUUAUGGGAUCCUCAGUGUUAGCACCAAAGAUCGCAUCUUUCUCAUCUAGGGGGCUCAGCCCUUUCAACCCAACAAUUCUAAAGAUAUUUUUAUCCAAAUUUCACUAAGGAUGAGAGAGAAAAUAUACAAAUAAUCUUUGAAAGAAAAAAGUCUUAAACUAGGUUGAAUGGUUAAAACAUGAGGCUCAUGUUUCAAUUGUCAUAUGUUAAAUGGAGUUCCUCAUUUAAUGUAAGCUACCAACCUUUUUUCUUAAGAAUUUGAAGGUUGCUUAUUAAGUGGUCAGGAUUUUUCAAUAAGUGUUAAUUUUUGAACUUUGCGCCAUCAUCCAAUAUAACCAUAUGGGCUAACCAAGUGUUUACGAAGAUGAGGAUGGAUCAUAAACCAACCUCCAACCACCUAAUUUAGUAAUGUAAUCACAUGGUUUGUCACAAAAUCUGUUGUUAUAAAUUUCUUUUUUGCAACAUCUAUUAUUCAUAAUCGGAUGAUUUGGAAUGAUCAUUUGUCAACCGUACCAAUGAUGUACACAAUACAGAAAGAUCAUAUUAGUCAUGAUAAUUAUAACAAUUUUUAUCAAUGGGCUUCUCUCCAUUUAAUGUGGAAUGUCAACCAUCAAUUAUGUUUAAAUGUUACAAUCAAAGAGCUAAGAUUUUCUUAUUACUGCCUAAUUUUUUGGCUUGGCUAUCCAUCGAAAUAUCAUAGACGCAUAUACCUUACCCGCAUGUGCAUGCCUACAGCACACACAAGCAUUUCAUAUUUCAACAUUCUACUUACUUGAGAAAGAAGAUAUGCUUACGCGAACAUCUCUAACAGCCUGGUGUAGCUGCACCUGGCGUCAACAUCUUAGCAGCCGUCAACGACGGCUAUGAAUUCCAAUCAGGAACAUUGAUGUCAUGUCCACAUGUUGCGGGAAUCACUGCCCUUCUAAAAUCUCUACAUCCUAAUUGGUCUACUGCGGCUACAAAAUCUGCACUCGUUACUACAGCUUCCAUCACCGACGAAUAUGGCCUACCAAUAACUACUAAGGGUGCUCCACGAAAGCUCGCUGACCCGUUCGACUAUGGUGGGGGCCAUGUCAGCCCAAUAGAACCGUAGAUCCUAGUUUAAUUUAUGACAUAGAUGUGGCUGACUACUUCAAUUGGGUCAAUGGAUUCAUAUCAGACCUUAAUUUACCAUCAAUUUCAAUCCUCAGUCUUAAAACGAUUGUAACGGUCUCAAGGACAGUCACAAAUGUGGGACCCAUCAACUCCACAUACAUAGCUACGAUUCAAUCUCCCCCAGGUGUUAAGAUGGAUGUGACACCUUCAAUCCUUAUCUUCAAUAACACUGUCACCAAACAUUCGUUUAAGAUUACAUUCUCAACUAUUCGAAGAGUGCAAGGAGAUUACACCUUCGGCAGCCUGAUUUGGAGUGAUUACAAGCACUUAGUAAAGAUUCUCAUUGCCAUUAGGACCGUGAUUUAAGACUUAUAUGCAGAUGUCUCGUUGUGAUUUUCAAUAUAUAUAAAUUUAUCAU